rnacentral:sRNA from 1 species
GUACCUUCCUGCCGCCAGAAAGCUCUGGCAUCAGACCCUUACCGCUGGUGGACCUCUCUCCCCUCGCUAUUCAGUAGAAUUGCUGUUCCUGUCUACCAGAGCCUGCCAGCGUCUCCCACCUCUGCCCUGAGAUCUGUUUCACCCCCUGAGGGAAAAACUAGCACUGUUGUCUCUGCAUUGCUAACCCCACCUUACCCUGCCUUCAACAGAGAACCUGUCCCUGCUCUACCCUCUGCAUUUUCUUUUUCAGAGGGAAAAUGGUCCCCGAGGAUCUGGAGAGGCAGAUUGGUAUGGCCGAGGCUGAGGGUGCUGUGCCGUUCCUGGUCAGUGCCACCUCUGGCACCACUGUGCUAGGGGCCUUUGACCCCCUGGAGGCAAUUGCUGAUGUGUGCCAGCGUCAUGGGCUAUGGCUGCAUGUGGAUGCUGCCUGGGGUGGGAGCGUCCUGCUGUCACAGACACACAGGCAUCUCCUGGAUGGGAUCCAGAGGGCUGACUCUGUGGCCUGGAAUCCCCACAAGCUCCUCGCAGCAGGCCUGCAAUGCUCUGCACUUCUUCUCCAGGAUACCUCGAACCUGCUCAAGCGCUGCCAUGGGUCCCAGGCCAGCUACCUUU